CCUACGUGAGGCAGCAGUGGGGGAUAUUGCACAAUGGGGGAAACCCUGAUGCAGCGACGCCGCGUGUGGGAAGACGGUCCUCUGGAUUGUCAACCACUGUCCCCAGGGACGAAGAUGACGGUACCUGGGGAGGAAGCUCCGGCUAACUACGUGCCAGCAGCCGCGGUAAUACGUAGGGAGCGAGCGUUGUCCGGAAUUACUGGGUGUAAAGGGAGCGUAGGCGGGACUGCAAGUUGGGUGUCAAAUCUACCGGCUCAACCGGUAGCCGCACUCAAAACUGCAGUUCUUGAGUGAAGUAGAGGCAGGCGGAAUUCCUAGUGUAGCGGUGAAAUGCGUAGAUAUUAGGAGGAACACCAGUGGCGAAGGCGGCCUGCUGGGCUUUUACUGACGCUGAGGCUCGAAAGUGUGGGGAGCAAACAGGAUUAGAUACCCUAGUAGUC
rnacentral:rRNA from 1 species